UACAGGGGGUGCAAGCGUUGCUCGGAAUCACUGGGCGUAAAGCGUACGCAGGCGGACCGUUAAGUCGGGUGUGAAAGCCCGGGGCUCAACCCCGGAACUGCAUUCGAUACUGGCGGUCUUGAAUACGGGAGAGGUGAGUGGAAUUCCUGGUGUAGAGGUGAAAUUCGUAGAUAUCAGGAGGAACACCGGUGGCGAAGGCGGCUCACUGGCCCAUUACUGACGCUGAGGCACGAAAGCGUGGGGAGCAAACAGG
rnacentral:rRNA from 1 species